rnacentral:rRNA from 1 species
UAGACCUACGGGAGGCAGCAGUGGGGGAUAUUGCACAAUGGGGGAAACCCUGAUGCAGCAACGCCGCGUGAGUGAAGAAGGUCUUCGGAUUGUAAAGCUCUGUUCUUGGUGAAGAUAAUGACGGUAGCCAAGGAGAAAGCUCCGGCUAACUACGUGCCAGCAGCCGCGGUAAUACGUAGGGAGCGAGCGUUGUCCGGAAUGACUGGGCGUAAAGGGUGCGUAGGCGGCAUAAUAAGUUAGAAGUGAAAUACCCAGAGCUUAACUCGGGUGCUGCUUCUAAGACUGUUGAGCUUGAGUGCGGGAGA